UUUAGUUCCAUAAAACUUGGGCAUUAUUAGAAGCUUCGUCGCCAGCAGAAACUGCAUUAGAAGGUUCGCUACGCAGGAGAGAUGGCGCCGUCGCCCAAAACUGCGCCCUGGCCCUACGAAAGAGGCGGGGGUGGGGGUGUGGGGAGGGAGCCAGCGUCAUCUGUCUUGCAUAGGAAACCUUACAUGUUCAACAAGCCAGCCGAGCCGACUCCCUAAUUUUGAAGCCUAGCUACUAGCUAGUGGAAUGUGGGGGGGAAUUGUGUGAAUGAAGCCCUAUUCGAAUUUGGAUGUGUAUGCAAAACAAUCUUCUCUUCUUUUUUCUUUCUGGGAGCAGACAAAAAGUUAUAUCCAUGCAACAAGUCUACCACAUGGCCUUGCUGCGGGCAGAAAUGGCGCUCGUGAAACAAGUUUGCAGAGUACUUAAAAGUAACUAUUGUAAAACUGUCAUAAACUAAGCGAUAUGAUUUGGCAGUAAAAAUUAAAAAUAAUUCAAUGGUGAUUUUUAUUACAACAUCAUCCGAGUUAUGACAAUCGUAUUAUUGUUUACUAAACAACAUUUCUCACUUUUUAAUCAUGGGUUUCACACAA